UAGCUCAGUGGCACAGCACCUGCCUGGCAAGCAUGAGGUCCUGAGUUCAAUUCUUGG
rnacentral:tRNA from 1 species